rnacentral:rRNA from 1 species
CCCUUUGGGGUGUGACUGCGUACCUUUUGUAUAAUGGGUCAGCGACUUAUAUUCUGUAGCAAGGUUAACCGAAUAGGGGAGCCGGAGGGAAACCGAGUCUUAACCGGGCGUUAAGUUGCAGGGUAUAGACCCGAAACCCGGUGAUCUAGCCAUGGGCAGGUUGAAGGUUGGGUAACACUAACUGGAGGACCGAACCGACUAAUGUUGAAAAAUUAGCGGAUGACCUGUGGCUGGGGGUGAAAGGCCAAUCAAACCGGGAGAUAGCUGGUUCUCCCCGAAAGCUAUUUAGGUAGCGCCUCGUGAAUUCAUCUCCGGGGGUAGAGCACUGUUUCGGCUAGGGGGCCAUCCCGGCUUACCAACCCGAUGCAAACUGCGAAUACCGGAGAAUGUUAUCACGGGAGACACACGGCGGGUGCUAACGUCCGUCGUGAAGAGGGAAACAACCCAGACCGCCAGCUAAGGUCCCAAAGUCAUGGUUAAGUGGGAAACGAUGUGGGAAGGCCCAGACAGCCAGGAUGUUGGCUUAGAAGCAGCCAUCAUUUAAAGAAAGCGUAAUAGCUCACUGGUCGAGUCGGCCUGCGCGGAAGAUGUAACGGGGCUAAACCAUGCACCGAAGCUGCGGCAGCGACGCUGAUGCGUUGUUGGGUAGGGGAGCGUUCUGUAAGCCUGCGAAGGUGGCCUGUGAGGGUUGCUGGAGGUAUCAGAAGUGCGAAUGCUGACAUAAGUAACGAUAAAGCGGGUGAAAAGCCCGCUCGCCGGAAGACCAAGGGUUCCUGUCCAACGUUAAUCGGGGCAGGGUGAGUCGACCCCUAAGGCGAGGCCGAAAGGCGUAGUCGAUGGGAAACGGGUUAAUAUUCCCGUACUUGGUGUUACUGCGAAGGGGGGACGGAGAAGGCUAUGUUGGCCGGGCGACGGUUGUCCCGGUUUAAGCGUGUAGGUGUGUGUUCCAGGUAAAUCCGGUUCACUUUAACACUGAGGUGUGAUGACGAGGCACUACGGUGCUGAAGCAACAAAUGCCCUGCUUCCAGGAAAAGCCUCUAAGCAUCAGGUAACAUCAAAUCGUACCCCAAACCGACACAGGUGGUCAGGUAGAGAAUACCAAGGCGCUUGAGAGAACUCGGGUGAAGGAACUAGGCAAAAUGGUGCCGUAACUUCGGGAGAAGGCACGCUGACACGUAGGUGAAGUGAUUUACUCAUGGAGCUGAAGUCAGUCGAAGAUACCAGCUGGCUGCAACUGUUUAUUAAAAACACAGCACUGUGCAAACACGAAAGUGGACGUAUACGGUGUGACGCCUGCCCGGUGCCGGAAGGUUAAUUGAUGGGGUCAGCGCAAGCGAAGCUCCUGAUCGAAGCCCCGGUAAACGGCGGCCGUAACUAUAACGGUCCUAAGGUAGCGAAAUUCCUUGUCGGGUAAGUUCCGACCUGCACGAAUGGCGUAAUGAUGGCCAGGCUGUCUCCACCCGAGACUCAGUGAAAUUGAACUCGCUGUGAAGAUGCAGUGUACCCGCGGCAAGACGGAAAGACCCCGUGAACCUUUACUAUAGCUUGACACUGAACAUUGAGCCUUGAUGUGUAGGAUAGGUGGGAGGCUUUGAAGUGUGGACGCCAGUCUGCAUGGAGCCGACCUUGAAAUACCACCCUUUAAUGUUUGAUGUUCUAACGUGGACCCGUGAUCCGGGUUGCGGACAGUGUCUGGUGGGUAGUUUGACUGGGGCGGUCUCCUCCUAAAGAGUAACGGAGGAGCACGAAGGUUGGCUAAUCCUGGUCGGACAUCAGGAGGUUAGUGCAAUGGCAUAAGCCAGCUUGACUGCGAGCGUGACGGCGCGAGCAGGUGCGAAAGCAGGUCAUAGUGAUCCGGUGGUUCUGAAUGGAAGGGCCAUCGCUCAACGGAUAAAAGGUACUCCGGGGAUAACAGGCUGAUACCGCCCAAGAGUUCAUAUCGACGGCGGUGUUUGGCACCUCGAUGUCGGCUCAUCACAUCCUGGGGCUGAAGUAGGUCCCAAGGGUAUGGCUGUUCGCCAUUUAAAGUGGUACGCGAGCUGGGUUUAGAACGUCGUGAGACAGUUCGGUCCCUAUCUGCCGUGGGCGCUGGAGAACUGAGGGGGGCUGCUCCUAGUACGAGAGGACCGGAGUGGACGCAUCACUGGUGUUCGGGUUGUCAUGCCAAUGGCACUGCCCGGUAGCUAAAUGCGGAAGAGAUAAGUGCUGAAAGCAUCUAAGCACGAAACUUGCCCCGAGAUGAGUUCUCCCUGAGACUUAGAGUCUCCUGAAGGAACGUUGAAGACGACGACGUUGAUAGGCCGGGUGUGUAAGCGCAGCGAUGCGUUGAGCUAACCGGUACUAAUGAACCGUGAGGCUUAACCUUACA